rnacentral:rRNA from 1 species
AGUCACUGACAUUAGAUACCCGCGUAGUCCUAGCCAUAAACGAUACUCGCUAGGUGUCGGCCACGGUGCGACCGUUGUCGGUGCCGUAGGGAAGCCGUGAAGCGAGCCACCUGGGAAGUACGGCCGCAAGGCUGAAACUUAAAGGAAUUGGCGGGGAGCACCACAACGGGUGGAGCUUGCGGUUUAAUUGGAUUCAACGCCGGAAAUCUUACCGGGACCGACAGCAACAUGAAGGCCAGGCUGAAGACUUUGCCGGAUUAGCUG